rnacentral:lncRNA from 1 species
GGAACUGGUAUAAUAUUUAUAAUGGAAAAUACAGCAGUCAGAGAUGGCAAAGGAAUCUGCGUGCUUGGCUUGGUUGCUGGAGGUCUGGUGCUGUUGCUUCCAGAAACUAAAGGGAAAGCUUUGCCUGAGACCAUCGAGGAAGCCGAAAAUAUGCAAAGACCAAGAAAAAAUAAAGAAAAGAUGAUUUACCUCCAAGUUCAGAAACUAGACAUUCCAUUGAACUAAGAAGAGAGACCGUUGCUGCUGUCAUGACCUAGCUUUGAUGGCAGCAAGACCAAAAGUAGAAAUCCCUGCACUCAUCACAAAGCCCAUACAACUCAACCAAACUUACCCCUGAGCCCUAUCAACCUAGGUCUACAGCCAGUGGAGUCUAUUGUACACUGUGGAAAAAUACCCAUGGGACCAGAUCCUGCCAAAUUCUUCCAGCUCACUUUAUUCUCAGCAUUCCUAGGACAUUGGACAUUGGUUUUCUGGAGGGUUUUUUUUCCAUCUUUGUAUUUUUUUAAAUUUGAUUCUUUUCUUUGCAAUGCUAUCUAACCAGAAUACAUAGGGGAACUGUGGGCUAGGCAAACAAAAUAGAAAAAAGUGUGAAAAACAGUAAAGUUGGGAGAGGAGCAUCUAUUUUCUUAAAGAAAUAAAACACCCAAAACAAUAUAAAGUUGUCCAGAAUGUAUGUCAAGAAUUUUAGAUAGGCCUUUCAGUAACACAGGUGAAGAAAUUUUUAAAAAUACAUUGAUUAUUAUCUAGGUUAGACUUAAAGUGAAUCUCAAAUAAAAGAAUCAGGAAUACAACUUAAGUGAUCAUGAGGUCCUUCCAUAUUUAGAUUGGGUAAGCAUGAAUGUGUAUUUUCUACAAAAGACCUUGAGAAGAGUUCAAUAAAAAAUGUUAGCAUUAUAAAACCAUUGAUGAUCAUUUUUUAGUCUGGUAAAAAUGUCUUAACAUUUGUGGAUUUUAAAAUACAUGUUAAUAUUUUAUAAAAGUAAUAUUAUGAAUACAUUUUUAAAAGCUAAAUAUCAUAAGACUUAUAAUGAAAACAAAAUUUCCUUGCCCUAUUUCACCUCUACUAAUUUCUCAGAGAAAAUUUUCAACUAUUUUAGGUGAAUUUUCCCCCUGAGAUUCAUCUCCAUAUAUAUAAAUAACUUCUUUAUAUUGACAUUUCUUGAUUUUUCAGCUUAAAUAUUAUCUAUUUACUUUUUAAUAUAACAGAUAAAAAUGUAACUCUCUUCAUCUCUCCCUUCAUCCCAACACACAGCUUUUCUGUUCCCUUUAAACUUUGUCACAUUUUUAUUAAAUCAAAUACUGAACUUUCAUGUCAUUAUGGCU